GAAAGCGACUUUGUGCUGCCACAACCUACACGAAAGGAUUAUUAAUGAAUUAGGAUUAAGCUACCACGAUUAUGAUAUAAAGCCAACCAUUGAAUUUCAUGAAUAGAAAACAGUAAAAAGCUCAAUCUUUUCUUUUGAUGGUUUGGUUGUAGGAUUGUAGGUAGAUAGCUCUAUUAGAAAGCUAAGCUACCUUUUCAUUGUAACCACUAGUGAGACCCUUUUGUAAUAGUUUUGUGUCCUCACUUUGAAGCAAAAAAUUGACCCUAUAAUUAGUCACUAAUUAAGGGUUUUUGUCUCUUUCUAUAAUUAAGUUUAGUUUUUCAAUCGUGAUCAUGUAUAUGGGGACCAUUGAGGUGGUGGCAAUGGAAGAUUGACAAGGAGGGAAUCAAUAAAGAAGGCUACACACCAAGGGUUGCCAUUCUUUGAAACGAAUGUUAUGAUUAUUAUUGGCAUUAUAUUGACUUUAGAUGCAAACAAAGGAUGUUGAUAUUGCCUUUCAAAGAUGAGGUGCUAAAUCAAUAUAUGUUCUUUACUUUUCCUUUCUUUUGUUGAAAAAUAGUUUAAUACUUUUGGAUUAUGGGUAUUCAAUUUAGAUGCUUGGACAUUUCAAAUUUAGAAUGAUCACUUCUUUUGAUUACAACUAAUUAUAAUGGAUUAGCCAACAAGUAAAUGAGAUAUUUUGUUGUUUCAAAUUCUAUAUGUAGUUUAGAAGAAAAUAGAAAUCAAACUAUGUGAUAUCAUGAAAUAGAAGAUUGUAUUGGACACUUCAAUGGGAGGACAUUCAAAGUGUUAGAAAAGAGAAAUAGAGAAAACAAAAGUAUUAUGUGUAUUGAGGAUUUAUCCUACAAAAUCAAAAAAAUCGGGGAGUUAUUCUGAAAAUAUCCGGUACAAAACUUUUUAGAAAAGGCAAAAUGUAUGCAAUUUUAUUGGAUUUUUUAAGCACCGGUAUGUAUUAUUCUCGAUUUUUUGUGUGAAAAAUUUGGUAUUUU
rnacentral:lncRNA from 1 species